CAAAACUUUCAACAACGGAUCUCUUGGUUCUGGCAUCGAUGAAGAACGCAGCAAAAUGCGAUAAGUAAUGUGAAUUGCAGAAUUCAGUGAAUCAUCGAAUCUUUGAACGCACAUUGCGCCCGCCAGUAUUCUGGCGGGCAUGCCUGUUCGAGCGUCA
rnacentral:rRNA from 1 species